CGCGGCCUAUCAGCUUGUUGGUGAGGUAACGGCUCACCAAGGCAUCGACGGGUAGCUGGUCUGAGAGGAUGAUCAGCCACACUGGGACUGAGACACGGCCCAGACUCCUACGGGAGGCAGCAGUGGGGAAUAUUGCACAAUGGGCGAAAGCCUGAUGCAGCGACGCCGCGUGAGGGAUGACGGCCUUCGGGUUGUAAACCUCUUUCAGCAGGGAAGAAGCGAAAGUGACGGUACCUGCAGAAGAAGCGCCGGCUAACUACGUGCCAGCAGCCGCGGUAAUACGUAGGGCGCAAGCGUUGUCCGGAAUUAUUGGGCGUAAAGAGCUCGUAGGCGGCUUGUCACGUCGGAUGUGAAAGCCCGGGGCUUAACCCCGGGUCUGCAUUCGAUACGGGCUAGCUAGAGUGUGGUAGGGGAGAUCGGAAUUCCUGGUGUAGCGGUGAAAUGCGCAGAUAUCAGGAGGAACACCGGUGGCGAAGGCGGAUCUCUGGGCCAUUACUGACGCUGAGGAGCGAAAAGCGUGGGGAGCGAACAGGAUUAGAUACCCUGGUAGUCCACGCCGUAAACGUUGGGAACUAGGUGUUGGCGACAUUCCACGUCGUCGGUGCCGCAGCUAACGCAUUAAGUUCCCCGCCUGGGGAGUACGG
rnacentral:rRNA from 1 species